AAAAGCAGUGGAGUCUCAUUCCUUCUGUUGGUGUUGUGCGGUGAAGCGCCAUACUGCAGCAGCAUCUUGAUGUUUUCCACCAGGCCGGCCUUUGCAGCCAGAGUCAGAGACGUCUCCCCAUCCUCUGUCAGCUCCUCCAGGGUCAGGUCUGUGGACAUCAACACUACAACACAAUGUUACACCCAUCUGUGACACCGAGCUCUCACCCUGCAGCACCUCAUGAAGAACCUCUUGUUGAGGCUGUACAGCUGCUGCGUGCAGAGGCAGCCAACCCCUGCUGUCCCUCUCUCUGAAGGCAGACGCACAACCUGGUAUCCCCUGCAGUGUGCACACAUCACCUGUGGAGACACAACCAGGAGACACACAGGUAAAACAAGGGAAACAUCAAUAUGCAUGGAGUGCAAAGAGAUCAAACAGAGGAAGAAUACAACAACAAAAAACACUGUUGUUGUAACUUUAUAAGAAUAUAAUGACACCAGAUACAGAUUCAUGUGCUGAAAUAAUGAAACACAGUUAAAUGCAGGCCUUACCUUCGUGGAUGGCUGCCAUAAUAUUUGCAAAUGCAUCACUGUUUGAUUCCUUUCUGAUGAACAAGAGGAGAGAAGUGGGUCCAGUGAAAACCUCUACUUAAGAAUUUAAUUCAUAAAGUUUUAGGAAUAAAAACACACCAGUGUUGGAGUUAAUUAUUUGUAUGUGAUCUGAAUCAGGAAUCAAGAAAAGUUCCCUUCCUCCUCAAUAUAUUACUUAAUAAUAAAGAUUCAAAAAAUGACUUCUGAUACAUGUAACUCUCAGUGAAAGUAUUAUGGGUAUAUAGAUAGUUUUGACUCUCAAACCUGUUUGUUUGUGUUGAAUAUGGCAGCUUGUAUGAAUCUUGAAUGCUCUCACGGAUGGCAAAAUCAAUAAGCUCUUCAUUAAUGCCUUCCUGCUCGAGGUCGUCCAUCUCUAUAUCAAGUGAAGCAACAAAAAGUGCAGGUUACCCACUUUAACCCUGAAAUAAAUACCGCCAUGCACAAGUCACAUCUCACCUGUUGAUCUGAACCUGAUCCGAACGUGCACCCUUGAGCACUCCUGCUUGCUGUUGUGUGUUUUUGUUGUUGCUGGGUCCUGAGCUGUCUGAGUUAUAUUUAGACAUGACCUGCAUUUAUAGUGACCCCGCUGAACUUAGAAUGUGUCAGUCACGUUUUCACAUUCAGAUAAAAAAUAAAGCUCUUCUGAGUAAUUA